UGAGGAAUAUUGGGCAAUGCCCGCAAGGGUGACCCAGCAACGCCGCGUGGAGGAUGAAUGUCGUAAGAUUGUAAACUCCUGUUAGAGGGGAAGAAUAGUACCGGUUGGACCGGUAUAUGACUGUACCCUCAGAGAAAGCCCCGGCUAACUACAUGCCAGCAGCCGCGGUAAUACGUAGGGGGCAAGCGUUGUCCGGAUUUACUGGGUGUAAAGGGCGCGCAGGCGGGAUAAAAAGUCAGUGGUGAAAUCCUACAGCUUAACUGUAGAACUGCCUUUGAUACUUUUAUUCUUGAGUUCGGGAGAGAGAGACGGAAUUCCAGGUGUAGUGGUGAAAUACGUAGAUAUCUGGAAGAACACCAGUUGCGAAGGCGGUCUCUUGGUCCGACACUGACGCUGAGGCGCGAAAGCGUGGGGAGCAAACA
rnacentral:rRNA from 1 species